rnacentral:lncRNA from 1 species
GGAAGACGCCAAAAUGCAAGGAUGCAUACGGUGAAAGUGUGGUUCAGUUGCGCUGUCUUACGCCUUGUGCAAUUGAACGGCGUGUUUGGCACGAGACGCUGGCCAAACUGGUCCGUCCUCAGGCUAAGCUACGUGACGUCAGAGGUGAACAAGGUGGGCCGAAGGAGACAGUCUCAACACAACAACAUGAAGUUCAACACCUUCGACAAGGACCAGGAUGUUUCAGCUAGAAACUGCGCUAAACUGUUUCUCUGAGCUUUCUGGUACGGAGACUGCCACAACACCAACCCCAACGCGAUUAUUCCAUAAAAGUGCACAGUGAUUCUGGUUGGCUUUCAGACAGGACUGACGUGUUUACUGGCACACAGAGC